rnacentral:rRNA from 1 species
UAGGGAAUCUUCGGCAAUGGGGGGAACCCUGACCGAGCAACGCCGCGUGAGUGAAGAAGGUUUUCGGAUCGUAAAGCUCUGUUGUUAAGGAAGAACGAGUGUGAGAAUGGAAAGUUCAUGCUGUGACGGUACUUAACCAGAAAGGGACGGCUAACUACGUGCCAGCAGCCGCGGUAAUACGCAGGUCCCGAGCGUUGUCCGGAUUUAUUGGGCGUAAAGCGAGCGCAGGCGGUUAGAAAAGUCUGAAGUGAAAGGCAGUGGCUCAACCAUUGUAGGCUUUGGAACCUGUAUAAUUUGAGGGCAGAAGAGGAGAGUGGAAGUCCAUGUGGAGCGGUGAAAAGCGUAGAUAAAUGGAGGAACACCGGUGGCGAAGGCGGCUCUCUGGUCUGUAACUGACGCUGAGGCUCGAAAGCGUGGGGAGCGAACAGG